UACGUAGGGGGCAAGCGUUGUCCGGAAUUAUUGGGCGUAAAGCGCGCGCAGGCGGCCUGAGCAGUCUGAUGUUUAAUCCCGGGGCUCAACCCCGGUACGCAUCGGAAACUGGCAGGCUUGAGUGCAGGAGAGGAAAGUGGAAUUCCACGUGUAGCGGUGAAAUGCGUAGAUAUGUGGAGGAACACCAGUGGCGAAGGCGGCAUCCUGGACCAAGUUCUGACGCUGAGUGAGCGAAAGCCAGGGAGCAAACGGG
rnacentral:rRNA from 1 species